GCGCGGGCGGAGGGUGCGCCUGUGUUCUUUAGACCCAGGUUCCAUUACAAACCACCCAGCAUCGCCACCGGCGCCCCCCUUUUCAAUCAGGAAGCCACUUUGUGAAAACAUUCUAAAAGAAACUUGGGAAGAGGACGCGUCAGAGAAAUACCGCCGCCGAUUAACUAUCAGCUGCGCCUCCCCUGAGCACAGUUUUCUGCCCAACAAAGAUCUGCAUGUUUCACCGUCUUGUUACUGAGAACAUAGUGGUUGAUGAGUGAUGAUCUGUUUGGAAUCACCUCUGCAAAACGGUUCCCCAACCCAGAAAAGGGGAAAAGUCCUAUUUUUGGAAUCUGUUGGGGGAUUUCCCAACUUAGUCUUCUGAUACUUGCGGGCAUAUGGCAAGACUUCCUUAUAAAAUGUUAGACAUCUGGCUGGGUGCAGUGGCUCACACCUGUAAUCCAGCACUUUGGAAGGCCAAGACGGGUGGAUCACCUGAGGUUGGGAGUUCGAGACCAGCCUGACCAACAUGGAGAGACCCCCGUCUCUACUAAAAAUACAAAAUUAGCCAGGUGUGGUGGCGCAUACCUGUCAUUCCAGCUACUCAGAAGGCUAAGGCGGGAGAAUCGCUUGAACCCAGGAGGUGGGGGUUGUGGUGAGCCGAGAUCACGCCAUUGCACUCCAGCCUGGGCAACAAGAGCAAAACUCUGUCUCAAAAAAUAAAGUAAAAUAAAAUAAAAAUGUUAGAUAUCUAAGAGGAAAA